UACGGAGGGUGCAAGCGUUACCCGGAAUUACUGGGCGUAAAGCGUGCGUAGGCGGUUUCUUAAGUCCGUUGUGAAAGCCCCGGGCUCAACCUGGGAAUGGCGAUGAAGACUGCAAGGCUAGAAUCUGGCAGAGGGGGGUAGAAUUCCACGUGUAGCAGUGAAAUGCGUAGAGAUGUGGAGGAACACCGAUGGCGAAGGCAGCCCCCUGGGUCAAGAUUGACGCUCAUGCACGAAAGCGUGGGGAGCAAACAGG
rnacentral:rRNA from 1 species